CAAAGGAGCGAUCCGGUGACGGAUGGGCAUGCGCCGCAUUAGUUAGUUGGCGGUGUAACGGACCACCAAGACGACGAUGCGUAGGGGUUCUGAGAGGAAGGUCCCCCACACUGGUACUGAGACACGGACCAGACUCCUACGGGAGGCAGCAGUGAGGAAUAUUGGUCAAUGGGCGAGAGCCUGAACCAGCCAAGUCGCGUGAGGGAAGACGGUCCUAUGGAUUGUAAACCUCUUUUGCCGGGGAGCAAAAAGCGGUACGUGUACCGCAUCGAGAGUACCCGGAGAAAAAGCAUCGGCUAACUCCGUGCCAGCAGCCGCGGUAAUACGGAGGAUGCGAGCGUUAUCCGGAUUUAUUGGGUUUAAAGGGUGCGCAGGCGGCGAGUUAAGUCAGCGGUAAAAUUUCGGGGCUCAACCCCGACAAGCCGUUGAAACUGGCUUGCUAGAGUGGGCGAGAAGUAUGCGGAAUGCGUGGUGUAGCGGUGAAAUGCAUAGAUAUCACGCAGAACUCCGACUGCGAAGGCAGCAUACCGGCGCCCAACUGACGCUCAGGCACGAAAGCGUGGGUAUCGAACAGGAUUAGAUACCCUGGUAGUCCACGCAGUAAACGAUGAGCACUAAUUGUCCGGUCCGAAUGAGGGCUGG
rnacentral:rRNA from 1 species